rnacentral:rRNA from 1 species
UGGAUGCCUUGGCACUAGAAGCCGAUGAAGGACGUUACUAACGACGAUAUGCUUUGGGGAGCUGUAAGUAAGCUUUGAUCCAGAGAUUUCCGAAUGGGGAAACCCAGCAUGAGUUAUGUCAUGUUAUCGAUAUGUGAAUACAUAGCAUAUCAGAAGGCACACCCGGAGAACUGAAACAUCUUAGUACCCGGAGGAAGAGAAAGAAAAUUCGAUUCCCUUAGUAGCGGCGAGCGAAACGGGAAGAGCCCAAACCAACAAGCUUGCUUGUUGGGGUUGUAGGACACUCUAUACGGAGUUACAAAGGACGACAUUAGACGAAUCAUCUGGAAAGAUGAAUCAAAGAAGGUAAUAAUCCUGUAGUCGAAAAUGUUGUCUCUCUUGAGUGGAUCCUGAGUACGACGGAGCACGUGAAAUUCCGUCGGAAUCUGGGAGGACCAUCUCCUAAGGCUAAAUACUCUCUAGUGACCGAUAGUGAACCAGUACCGUGAGGGAAAGGUGAAAAGCACCCCGGAAGGGGAGUGAAAUAGAACCUGAAACCGUGUGCUUACAAGUAGUCAGAGCCCGUUAAUGGGUGAUGGCGUGCCUUUUGUAGAAUGAACCGGCGAGUUACGAUUUGAUGCAAGGUUAAGCAGUAAAUGUGGAGCCGUAGCGAAAGCGAGUCUGAAUAGGGCGUUUAGUAUUUGGUCGUAGACCCGAAACCAGGUGAUCUACCCUUGGUCAGGUUGAAGUUCAGGUAACACUGAAUGGAGGACCGAACCGACUUACGUUGAAAAGUGAGCGGAUGAACUGAGGGUAGCGGAGAAAUUCCAAUCGAACCUGGAGAUAGCUGGUUCUCUCCGAAAUAGCUUUAGGGCUAGCCUCAAGUGAUGAUUAUUGGAGGUAGAGCACUGUUUGGACGAGGGGCCCCUCUCGGGUUACCGAAUUCAGACAAACUCCGAAUGCCAAUUAAUUUAACUUGGGAGUCAGAACAUGGGUGAUAAGGUCCGUGUUCGAAAGGGAAACAGCCCAGACCACCAGCUAAGGUCCCAAAAUAUAUGUUAAGUGGAAAAGGAUGUGGCGUUGCCCAGACAACUAGGAUGUUGGCUUAGAAGCAGCCAUCAUUUAAAGAGUGCGUAAUAGCUCACUAGUCGAGUGACACUGCGCCGAAAAUGUACCGGGGCUAAACAUAUUACCGAAGCUGUGGAUUGUCCUUUGGACAAUGGUAGGAGAGCGUUCUAAGGGCGUUGAAGCAUGAUCGUAAGGACAUGUGGAGCGCUUAGAAGUGAGAAUGCCGGUGUGAGUAGCGAAAGACGGGUGAGAAUCCCGUCCACCGAUUGACUAAGGUUUCCAGAGGAAGGCUCGUCCGCUCUGGGUUAGUCGGGUCCUAAGCUGAGGCCGACAGGCGUAGGCGAUGGAUAACAGGUUGAUAUUCCUGUACCACCUAUAAUCGUUUUAAUCGAUGGGGGGACGCAGUAGGAUAGGCGAAGCGUGCGAUUGGAUUGCACGUCUAAGCAGUAAGGCUGAGUAUUAGGCAAAUCCGGUACUCAUUAAGGCUGAGCUGUGAUGGGGAGAAGACAUUGUGUCUUCGAGUCGUUGAUUUCACACUGCCGAGAAAAGCCUCUAGAUAGAAAAUAGGUGCCCGUACCGCAAACCGACACAGGUAGUCAAGAUGAGAAUUCUAAGGUGAGCGAGCGAACUCUCGUUAAGGAACUCGGCAAAAUGACCCCGUAACUUCGGGAGAAGGGGUGCUCUUUAGGGUUAACGCCCAGAAGAGCCGCAGUGAAUAGGCCCAAGCGACUGUUUAUCAAAAACACAGGUCUCUGCUAAACCGUAAGGUGAUGUAUAGGGGCUGACGCCUGCCCGGUGCUGGAAGGUUAAGAGGAGUGGUUAGCUUCUGCGAAGCUACGAAUCGAAGCCCCAGUAAACGGCGGCCGUAACUAUAACGGUCCUAAGGUAGCGAAAUUCCUUGUCGGGUAAGUUCCGACCCGCACGAAAGGCGUAACGAUUUGGGCACUGUCUCAACGAGAGACUCGGUGAAAUCAUAGUACCUGUGAAGAUGCAGGUUACCCGCGACAGGACGGAAAGACCCCGUGGAGCUUUACUGUAGCCUGAUAUUGAAAUUCGGCACAGCUUGUACAGGAUAGGUAGGAGCCUUUGAAACGUGAGCGCUAGCUUACGUGGAGGCGCUGGUGGGAUACUACCCUAGCUGUGUUGGCUUUCUAACCCGCACCACUUAUCGUGGUGGGAGACAGUGUCAGGCGGGCAGUUUGACUGGGGCGGUCGCCUCCUAAAAGGUAACGGAGGCGCUCAAAGGUUCCCUCAGAAUGGUUGGAAAUCAUUCAUAGAGUGUAAAGGCAUAAGGGAGCUUGACUGCGAGACCUACAAGUCGAGCAGGGUCGAAAGACGGACUUAGUGAUCCGGUGGUUCCGCAUGGAAGGGCCAUCGCUCAACGGAUAAAAGCUACCCCAGGGAUAACAGGCUUAUCUCCCCCAAGAGUUCACAUCGACGGGGAGGUUUGGCACCUCGAUGUCGGCUCAUCGCAUCCUGGGGCUGUAGUCGGUCCCAAGGGUUGGGCUGUUCGCCCAUUAAAGCGGUACGCGAGCUGGGUUCAGAACGUCGUGAGACAGUUCGGUCCCUAUCCGUCGUGGGCGUAGGAAAUUUGAGAGGAGCUGUCCUUAGUACGAGAGGACCGGGAUGGACAUACCUCUGGUGUACCAGUUGUCGUGCCAACGGCAUAGCUGGGUAGCUAUGUGUGGACGGGAUAAGUGCUGAAAGCAUCUAAGCAUGAAGCCACCCUCAAGAUGAGAUUUCCCAACUUCGGUUAUAAGAUCCCUCAAAGAUGAUGAGGUUAAUAGGUUCGAGGUGGAAGCAUGGUGACAUGUGGAGCUGACGAAUACUAAUCGAUCGAAGACUUAAUCAA